AUUGAACGCUGGCGGCAGGCCUAACACAUGCAAGUCGAGCGGAUGAAGGGAGCUUGCUCCUGGUUUCAGCGGCGGACGGGUGAGUAAUGCCUAGGAAUCUGCCUGGUAGUGGGGGAUAACGUCCGGAAACGGGCGCUAAUACCGCAUACGUCCUGAGGGAGAAAGUGGGGGAUCUUCGGACCUCACGCUAUCAGAUGAGCCUAGGUCGGAUUAGCUAGUUGGUGGGGUAAAGGCCUACCAAGGCGACGAUCCGUAACUGGUCUGAGAGGAUGAUCAGUCACACUGGAACUGAGACACGGUCCAGACUCCUACGGGAGGCAGCAGUGGGGAAUAUUGGACAAUGGGCGAAAGCCUGAUCCAGCCAUGCCGCGUGUGUGAAGAAGGUCUUCGGAUUGUAAAGCACUUUAAGUUGGGAGGAAGGGCAGUAAGUUAAUACCUUGCUGUUUUGACGUUACCGACAGAAUAAGCACCGGCUAACUUCGUG
rnacentral:rRNA from 1 species